rnacentral:RNase_P_RNA from 1 species
GGGUGGGGCCGAUGGUCGCGGUGCGCCGGCUGGAUGGCGUAUCGAGGAAAGUCCGAGCUCCGCAGGGCAGACUGCCAGGUAACGCCUGGGCGCCGCAAGGCGACGGACAGGGCCACAGAGAACAGACCGCCCUGUAUCCAAGGGUAAGGGUGAAACGGUGGGGUAAGAGCCCACCGCGCGCCUGGCAACAGGCGCGGCACGGCAACCCCCAGUCGGAGCAAGGCCAAGUAAGCAGCGAGACCCGGCCCGGGUCGUUCGAGCUGCGGGUAGGCCGCUUGAGGUGGCUGGCGACAGCCAUCCCAGAGAGAUGACCAUCUGCCCGCCUCGGCGGGUAUACAGAACUCGGCUUAUGGCCCCACCGACCU